CCGGCCCGGGUUUGAACGGGAAAUAACAAUGACAUGACUUUCUGAUGCUGUGGGAACUCCUUUGUUUGACUUCUUCACACUCAGGGUCAUCUGCAUGACACCCUGGCUGUCGGGUCAAUGUGUUUUAUUUCUUCUCGUGUCUCCAUCCUGCUGGUUCACAUUCUCUGAUAAGGAUUUAGUAUUAAAUUAAAUUGAAUUUAA